rnacentral:rRNA from 1 species
UACGGGGGGAGCAAGCGUUGUUCGGAUUUACUGGGCGUAAAGGGCGCGUAGGCGGUCAGCACAAGUCAGUUGUGAAAUCUCCGGGCUUAACUCGGAAAGGUCAACUGAUACUGUGCGACUAGAGUGCAGAAGGGGCAACUGGAAUUCUCGGUGUAGCGGUGAAAUGCGUAGAUAUCGAGAGGAACACCUGCGGCGAAGGCGGGUCUCUGGGCAGUAACUGACGCUGAGGAGCGAAAGCGUGGGGAGCGAACAGG